GUCCACGCCGUAAACUAUGGAUACUAGAUGUCGGGAGAUCUUACCCUCUCGGUGUCGUAGGUAACCCGUUAAGUAUCCCGCCUGGGAAGUACGGCCGCAAGGUUAAAACUCAAAGAAAUUGACGGGGGCCCGCACAAGCGGUGGAGUAUGUGGUUCAAUUCGAUGCAACGCGAAAAACCUUACCUGGGUUUGACAUCCCGCGCAUAGCUAUGAAAGUAGUGAAUUCCCUUCGGGGACGCGGAGACAGGUGCUGCAUGGCUGUCGU
rnacentral:rRNA from 1 species